UGAAGGGCUUGUGAGGACAGUGCCACUUCAGGUCACUGGGGCUUUGCUUCUCAGAGAGACACGAGGGAAGACAACAUUAUCCUUCUUGUAUGCGGGCAUUGGAGGCAGUCUGGCACCCUUGGGCCUGAAACAUCGCAAAUAUUGCUGGCCUCAAGCACUGAUUUCUUCAGCAAGAGAUGGAGACAGGUAUAGUGUUGAAGAAACUGGCCCAGAACCUGAAGUCUUGGCAUAAAAGACACAGCAUCUUGGUAAGGUUAUCCCCAAUGUGAAC